UACGAAGGGGGCUAGCGUUGUUCGGAAUUACUGGGCGUAAAGCGCGCGCAGGCGGUCCUUCAAGUCAGUGGUGAAAGCCCGGAGCUCAACUCCGGAAAUGCCAUUGAAACUGUAAAACUUGAGGACGAGAGAGGUGAGUGGAAUUCCCAGUGUAGAGGUGAAAUUCGUAGAUAUUGGGAAGAACACCGGUGGCGAAGGCGGCUCACUGGCUCGUUUCUGACGCUCAGGCGCGAUAGCGUGGGGAUCAAACAGG
rnacentral:rRNA from 1 species